rnacentral:hammerhead_ribozyme from 1 species
AUCCAGCUGACGAGUUCCAAAUAUGACGAAACGCGCGUUCUGGAU